GAUGAACGCUGGCGGCGUGCUUAACACAUGCAAGUCGAACGAAGCACUUUGAUAAGCUUGCUUAGAGAAGUGACUGAGUGGCGGACGGGUGAGUAACGCGUGGGUAACCUGCCUCACACAGGGGGAUAACAGUUAGAAAUGACUGCCAAUACCGCAUCAAAUGGCAGUUUCGCAUGAAACAACCAUCAAAGAUUUAUCGGUGUGAGAUGGACCCGCGUCUGAUUAGCUAGUUGGUAAGGUAACGGCUUACCAAGGCGACGAUCAGUAGCCGACCUGAGAGGGUGACCGGCCACAUUGGGACUGAGACACGGCCCAAACUCCUACGGGAGGCAGCAGUGGGGAAUAUUGGACAAUGGGCGCAAGCCUGAUCCAGCGACGCCGCGUGAGUGAGGAAGUAUUUCGGUAUGUAAAGCUCUAUCAGCAGGGAAGAAAAUGACGGUACCUGACUAAGAAGCCCCGGCUAACUACGUGCCAGCAGCCGCUGUAAUAC
rnacentral:rRNA from 1 species